GACGAACGCUGGCGGCGUGCUUAACACAUGCAAGUCGAACGGAAAGGCCCUGCUUUUGUGGGGUGCUCGAGUGGCGAACGGGUGGGUAACACGUGAGUAACCUGCCCUUGACUUUGGGAUAACUUCAGGAAACUGGGGCUAAUACCGGAUAGGAUCUCCUGCUGCAUGGUGGGGGUUGGAAAGUUUCGGCGGUUGGGGAUGGACUCGCGGCUUAUCAGCUUGUUGGUGGGGUAGUGGCUUACCAAGGCUUUGACGGGUAGCCGGCCUGAGAGGGUGGCCGGCCACAUUGGGACUGAGAUACGGACCAGACUCCUACGGGAGGCAGUAGUGGGGAAUAUUGCACAAUGGGCGGAAGCCUGAUGCAGCAACGCCGCGUGCGGGAUGACGGCCUUUGGGUUGUAAACCGCUUUCGCCUGAAACGAAGAGUGAGUGACGGUAAUGGGUAAGGAAGCACCGGCUAACUACGUG
rnacentral:rRNA from 1 species